CACAGCGGUGCUGCCGGCCAAUCCCGGCGGCAGCCCAACAUAUCGUACAGAUCAGAUACGGGUGAGAAGAGGAAGAGCUGAGAUAAGGGUCAAGAAAUAAAAAGAAGAGCAGAGACAAGGGUGAAGAGGAAAGGAAGGUAGGGGUGAGUAGAGGAGAGGCAGAGAUGAGACAAAUGUGAAGAGAAGAGGGAGACUCCAACUCCAGCCCGAAGUAACCGACUCCUCGACUCCUGCUGAUUGACUGACUCUACUCCCCUGACACAAGCACCUCGUUUAACCUUCCCCUCAAACACCUCAGCAUCAACCAAAUAAGUCUGUUUAUUUUUUUUUUUUUUUGCUUAUUUUCUUCCCUUUAAGCCCUAGGACUAAACCAAUAACAAUUAAUCUUUUCCAAGUAGGCUACAUACACAAAUUGAGCAUCGACAGUCUGUAACUGAAGUCUAUACUUAUGUUUAUGAGAUGUCAAAAAAUUUAUUUGACAGGGAAUAAUAAAAAUAAAACCACAAAAAAAGGGGGGGAGUAAUUAUCAGAAAAAUGCUACUCCUACAUACUUGCGAGGAGAGGACUAGAUUACACAGCUAACAAAAAUAAAAAAAAUAAGUUAACCAGCAAACUAACUUAAAUAAAACGAUGCUUCAAAGAGCUGCUUCGAAUAGCGCUUCAGAGUGCGAGGGAAGGCAGCGAGAGAGGAAGCGAGCCUGUCAGCGGCAGCAGCUUAUAGCUAUCGAAAGAAGACGGGUCGGCGCUGGUUGUGCUCCACCGUCGGGCUCGAUAUUUCCUAAGACACGGCAAGCAGUCGACGCCCUGGAUUUCUACUACUUACUGCCGGGAUACGUCAAACUACAAUACUGCUCCCGCAUCACCAGCCUUACCAGAUACGGCGGGCAGACACGACGCCCGGACUACUAUACUACUAGCAACUAGGAUUCGUCGAUCAACAAUACUGCUGCCUGUCAUUAACACCCUGAUGGUUACAGUGGUUUGUUUAGUGUACGAGGACAACAUUCAAAUAACUGGAAUCCUUCUCCCUUUUAUGUGAGUAGAAACCUGAACACCUUUUUAUAAACCCAGCAUUUAACUGUGAGCCGCACCUACGAAGGUGAGGGGAUUUCAGAGGGUUUACCCCAAUAAGUGGCUACAUAUUUUCCACAUGACCCUUGACUAUCCCAGCCUUAAACCCAAAGCCAUCUUCUAAUGUAGUUUCUUUCCCUCAUCUAAGCUAAGGCCUCCUAGCCACUGAUCAGAUGUUUUCUAAGGCAUUUAAACGCUGAGGUGGAAUGGUCCAUCUUGCCGCUGUAAACACCCACUUUUAUAUAUUGUCACAGCAUAAACCCAAUAAGUGUCUCUGCUGGUCCUGUCUCAUUGACUUCCCUGGGCCCAACACCCAGGCACAGGCCGGCUGCCCUCGCCACCACACGCCGAAGACACACUCACCCGCGCUGGCCGAAGGCGGUACCGCACCCGAAGGUAACCUGCAAGAAAAGGGUGCCGUUACGUUCCCUGUACCGUCGGUGGAAAGACAAACUCCUGCCUUCUCUAAUUAUAAAACCUCCUGCCCUUUUAAUAUGAUGUCGGUCCAGAUUUAUUUCAAUAAACCCUUCCCUAUCUCGUUUCAAGUACAUUUUUACUCUAAAUUAGCUAAUUUACAUAUAAUAAUAAAUUAAUAAAUAAC